AGAGUUUGAUUAUGGCUCAGGAUGAACGCUAGCUACAGGCUUAACACAUGCAAGUCGAGGGGCAUCAGGAUCUAGCAAUAGAUUGCUGGCGACCGGCGCACGGGUGAGUAACACGUAUCCAACCUGCCUUAUACUCGGGGAUAGCCUUUCGAAAGAAAGAUUAAUACCCGAUGUUAUAGUCUAACCGCAUGAUUUGACUAUAAAAGAUUUUCGGUAUAAGAUGGGGAUGCGUUCCAUUAGGCAGUUGGUGGGGUAACGGCCCACCAAACCUUCGAUGGAUAGGGGUUCUGAGAGGAAGGUCCCCCACAUUGGAACUGAGACACGGUCCAA
rnacentral:rRNA from 1 species